rnacentral:rRNA from 1 species
GACGAACGCUGGCGGCGUGCCUAACACAUGCAAGUCGAGCGGGGACAUUGGAGCUUCGGUUCUGAUGUUCUAGCGGCGGACGGGUGAGUAACGCGUGAGCAAUCUGUCCCAUACAGGGGGAUAACAGCUGGAAACAGCUGCUAAUACCGCAUGAGACCACAACAUCACAUGACGAAGGGGUCAAAGGAGCAAUCCGGUAUGGGGUGAGCUCGCGUCCCAUUAGGUAGUUGGUGAGGUAACGGCCCACCAAGCCGACGAUGGGUAGCCGACCUGAGAGGGUGAUCGGCCACACUGGAACUGAGACACGGUCCAGACUCCUACGGGAGGCAGCAGUGGGGAAUAUUGGGCAAUGGGCGAAAGCCUGACCCAGCAACGCCGCGUGAGGGAAGAAGGUUUUCGGAUUGUAAACCUCUGUCCUUGGUGACGAAGGAAGUGACGGUAGCCAAGGAGGAAAGCCCCCGGGCUAACUACGUG